rnacentral:rRNA from 1 species
CUUGCCCCGGGGCAGAGCCGCGAACGGGUGAGUAACACGUGGGUUACCUGCCCCAAUGACCGGGACAACCCGAGGAAACUCGGGCUAAUACCGGAUGCGGUCUUCGGACGAAAGGAAGCUUCGGCCUCCGCAUUGGGAUGGGCCCGCGGCGCAUUAGCUUGUUGGUGGGGUAACGGCCUACCAAGGCGACGAUGCGUAGCUGGUCUGAGAGGACGAUCAGCCACACUGGGACUGAGACACGGCCCAGACUCCUACGGGAGGCAGCAGUGGGGAAUCUUGCGCAAUGCGCGAAAGCGUGACGCAGCAACGCCGCGUGGGGGAAGAAGGCCUUCGGGUUGUAAACCUCUUUCAGUUGGGACGAAGCUUCGCGGGUUAAUAGCCUGCCGGAGUGACGGUACCUUCAGAAGAAGCCCCGGCUAACUACGUGCCAGCAGCCGCGGUAAUACGUAGGGGGCAAGCGUUGUCCGGAAUCAUUGGGCGUAAAGAGCGUGUAGGCGGCCCGAUAAGUCCGCUGUGAAAGUCCAGGGCUCAACCCUGGAAUGCCGGUGGAUACUGUCGGGCUCGAAUCCGGAAGAGGUGAGUGGAAUUCCUGGUGUAGCGGUGAAAUGCGCAGAUAUCAGGAGGAACACCAAUGGCGAAGGCAGCUCACUGGGACGGUAUUGACGCUGAGACGCGAAAGCGUGGGGAGCAAACAGG